rnacentral:pre_miRNA from 1 species
AGUGGGAUAGCUGGGUUAAAUGGUGGUUCCAUUCCAAGUUUUCUAAGCAAUCUCUAUACUGCUUUCCAAAGUGGUUGCUCCAAUUUGUAGUCCCACCAGUAGU